UACGGGGGGUGCAAGCGUUACUCGAAAUCACUGGGCGUAAAGGGUGCGUAGGCUGACUUUUAAGUCAGGCGUGAAAUCCAAUGGCUCAACCAUUGAACUGCGCUUGAAACUGGGAGUCUAGAGUUCAGAAGGGGCAGAUGGAAUUAGUGGUGUAGGGGUAAAAUCCGUAGAUAUCACUAGGAAUAUCAAAAGCGAAGGCGAUCUGCUGGGAUGAUACUGACGCUGAGGCACGAAAGCGUGGGGAGCAAACAGGAUUAGAUACCCUGGUAGUCCACGCCCUAAACGAUGAAUGCUAGUCGUCGGGGUACUCGUUACUUCGGUGAUGCACUUAACAGAUUAAGCAUUCCGCCUGGGGAGUACGGUCGCAAGAUUAAAACUCAAAGGAAUAGACGGGGACCCGCACAAGUGGUGGAGCAUGUGGUUUAAUUCGAAGAUACACGAAGAACCUUACCUGGCCUUGACAUGGUAGGAACCCUGUAGAGAUACGGGGGUGCUAGCUUGCUAGAACCUACACACAGGUGCUGCACGGCUGUCGUCAGCUCGUGUCGUGAGAUGUUGGGUUAAGUCCCGCAACGAGCGCAACCCUCGUCCUUAGUUGCUAACAGUUCGGCUGAGCACUCUAAGGAGACUGCCUUCGCAAGGAGGAGGAAGGUGAGGACGACGUCAAGUCAUCAUGGCCCUUACGGCCAGGGCUACACACGUGCUACAAUGGGGCGUACAGAGAGCUGCAAUACCGCGAGGUGGAGCCAAUCUCUUAAAGCGUCUCUCAGUUCGGAUUGUUCUCUGCAACUCGAGAGCAUGAAGCUGGAAUCACUAGUAAUCGCAGAUCAGCUAUGCUGCGGUGAAUACGUUCCCGGGUCU
rnacentral:rRNA from 1 species